CCUACGGGAGGCAGCAGUGGGGAAUAUUGGACAAUGGGGGGAACCCUGAUCCAGCCAUGCCGCGUGUGUGAAGAAGGCCCUCGGGUUGUAAAGCACUUUCAGUGAGGAAGAACGCCUGGUGGUUAAUACCCAUCAGGAAAGACAUCACUCACAGAAGAAGCACCGGCUAACUCCGUGCCAGCAGCCGCGGUAAUACGGAGGGUGCGAGCGUUAAUCGGAAUUACUGGGCGUAAAGCGCGCGUAGGUGGCUUGAUAAGCCGGUUGUGAAAGCCCCGGGCUCAACCUGGGAACGGCAUCCGGAACUGUCAAGCUAGAGUGCAGGAGAGGAAGGUAGAAUUCCCGGUGUAGCGGUGAAAUGCGUAGAGAUCGGGAGGAAUACCAGUGGCGAAGGCGGCCUUCUGGACUGACACUGACACUGAGGUGCGAAAGCGUGGGUAGCAAACAGGAUUUAGAUACCCGAGUAGUC
rnacentral:rRNA from 1 species